rnacentral:rRNA from 1 species
UAAUAAAAAUGAAGGAAGGUGGUGAUGAAGUCAAAUCAUUCAUGCCUCUUAUGACCUGGGCUACACACGUGCUACAAUGGACGAUACAAACGGUUGCCAACUCGCGAGAGGGAGCUUAUCCGAUAAAGUCGUUCUCAGUUCGGAUUGUAGGCUGCAACUCGCCUACAUGAAGCCGGAAUCGCUAGUAAUCGCGGAUCAGCAUGCCGCGGUGAAUACGUUCCCGGGCCUUGUACACACCGCCCGUCACACCACGAGAGUUUGUAACACCCGAAGUCGGUGAGGUAACCUUUGGAGCCAGCCGCCGAAGGUGGAAU